rnacentral:lncRNA from 1 species
GUCAUAAUUUAUGAACUAUUUCUCUAUGCAUACAAAGCUACAGUUUAUUGAUCCAUAGGUUCUGGUAUGGAAGACAAGACGUCUGACAUCUAUUCUGAUCAGGAAGAAUGGCAGUUAUCAGUCCAUUUUUUUGGCCUAUUAAGUUUUGAUCUAGCAGCUGCCCAGGUAUAAUUGGUUUGACAACCAUUGAGCAACAUACAUUUUACGUCAGGAUCAGCAUGGAGCAGCUUCUGCUUUUUCAGCUGUUAGCAAAGGAAGAAGAAGCAGGAAAAAAGAUAGGAAGGAGAGAACAAAAGCAGGAAGGAAAAGAAGAGAAAAGAAAAGACUUUGUCAUGGGUUCAGCUGCUGCUAUGAGUCUCCAGAUGGAAUAGCUAUGCAUCUCACUGUCAUAUUUCAUCUUCUGCUAAAAAACAGCUGGGAAUAGAAUUGGACUGUCACUUGAUUGAGUCAGUGCCACCAAAUUUCACCAAGUUAAAAAUCCUUAUAUUGAAAUGUAUUUUCUCUACAGGUCAUUUAAGA